ACGGGAGGCAGCAGUGAGGAAUAUUGGUCAAUGGGCGAGAGCCUGAACCAGCCGAGUCGCGUGAAGGAAGACGGUUCUAUGGAUUGUAAACUUCUUUUGUCCGAGGGUAAAGUGAGAGAUGCGUCUCUUAUUGCAAGUAUCGGACGAAUAAGCAUCGGCUAACUACGUGCCAGCAGCCGCGGUAAUACGUAGGUUGCAAGCGUUGUCCGGAUUUACUGGGUGUAAAGGGCGUGUAGGCGGAGCUGCAAGUCAGAUGUGAAAUCCCGGGGCUCAACCCCGGAACUGCAUUUGAAACUGCAGCCCUUGAGUAUCGGAGAGGCAAGCGGAAUUCCUAGUGUAGCGGUGAAAUGCGUAGAUAUUAGGAGGAACACCAGUGGCGAAGGCGGCUUGCUGGACGACAACUGACGCUGAGGCGCGAAAGCGUGGGGAGCAAACAGGAUUAGAUACCCUGGUA
rnacentral:rRNA from 1 species